UCCAAAUUGACGAUCGAUAUCAUUGAACAUGAUCUAUACCACUUGAAUCAUCUAGAAAUUAAAUUUCAUACUUUUCCGAAAUUGUUCUCUUGUCCAUCAAGUGGACACAAAAAUGAACGGGUGAAAAUGAAUAUUCUCUGAAAAGUGAUGAUAGGAGUCUUGUAAUCAAGAUCAAGAGUAUAGAUCUUGUUCUAAAAGUUUAAAAAAAAUUUCAACCAAAAUUCAAUUGAUUUGAAUAUAUUUACACCGUUAAACGAGAAAAUGUCUUACAUCGAUCAUUAAAAUUACAAAUUUUGAAACCCUUUAAUCAUUAUGUCAAUAAUGUCGAAAAGAUUUGAAAUUUGAUUUCUAAAUACUUCAAGUAAUAUAGAUUAUGUUCAAUAGUGCUGAUCAUCAAUUUGGAGGCUCAAUCAUUGAAAACAAAUGGGUGGCAACAGAGCCCGUUUGCUACCCAUAGCAUUCCAGCUCAACUUGAAAAAAUAGAUAUAAUUUAAAAGGUGCAAAUAUUGAGAUCGGAUUAGUGUAGCACCUCAUUGCACGAUAAAGAGGCCGAUACCAUAAAACAUAAGCACCUGGAACUCCGGAUAUAAAGUAGAUUAUAGCUAGGAACCAGAUUUUUACACCUGAAGAUGACAGUACAUCACAUCAACUUUAUUUGAUAAAGAUAUUCACUGCUUAUAACAGCUUAAGCAUUGACUUAAAAAGGACACGUCAAGCUCUUCAAACAUACCUUCCCCCUUAAUCCAAGCAGCUGUAACUGCUAUAAUAUUCCAGAAGAGGCACAAAACCAAUCCAGUAUGACAUCCAAUUAAAAGAGUUAUAUGGUUCUUUAUUUUUAGGCAACCAUUUCAUCCUACCAAUGUACUCUCAUGUUUACAACAUGAAACUGAACUCUAGUAAGGAACCUGUAUCUCUCCUUCGGUACUCUAUAACCAAUCAAGCAUUGGACUCGUUGGUUUGUUUCUAAUAUAAGCAAAUAUGUACUAUCUGUGUAUCCAUGUGCUUAAAAGAUGAUAUUUACAUAAAAAGAUUGACUUCUAUGGCAAGAAUAAAAAAAGUAGGUUUACCUAUUCAUUUAUAUACGUAAUCUGUGCAAUAAAAUCAGCCAUCAUUGAACAAACAAUAAAGAAUGUUCCAAAAAAAUAAAGACAAAAUGAUUGAGCAGAAAAUCAAUCUAGGUAAUACCAAAAGAUGCCACCAUAGGUAAGAAAAAUUUGCUCCCAAGUACACAAAAAACAUCUGAAUUGUCAUGUCCAAAGAGCUUAUCAAGAAAGCUGUAUUAUAGUACUGUUAGGGCAAGCCUGAUCACAACCCCUUUACUUUUGGUUUCGUGUAAGCUAAGAUAUAAGAACAACACAAGGCAGUCGAUGAACUAUGUGCUAGUAAGUCAACCUGAUCUACAGCUGCUUAAGAUCCGAGAAUAAGAAUACAAUGAGUUCAGUUGAGCCUAUAUUUUAUUUCACUUUAUUAUAUCAAGCCAAUUAAUCAAUUAUGGAUUCUAAAGUGAGUAUAGGUUAAGUCCAAUUGUGUUUUUUAUUAUCUAGAAUUUAUGCUUCAUCCAUUCUUUUUUUCCAUGACAAAUCUCUACAGCAGAACCAGCUAAUUUCUGCAGAAAUUUUUGUAGCUUCAGUUUCUGCAGAAACUUACACGUGUUCACACUUCACAGCCAGUAGCUAAAGGAAUGGAUCUAGUCUAUUCUAUCUAUUUGACAUUCUCUAUACAAGAGUAUUCCUUUUGUUUAGCAAGUUAUGCACAUUGUUAAUGACUGAAAAGUAAAGCACAAAAGCUAGGAUGUUAGCAGAAGAUGAAGUCAUACCUAACAAAGACGCAAAGGCAAAGUACUGCAUUCUUUGAACGUGGAUGGGUAUCUCAUUUGCAAUAUCAUGAUGUAUAAUGGGGAAAAAAGGUGGCCAAUUUUUCUCCUCUAUUACAAUGCCAGCUGCAAAAGUUAAACAAUGUACCAUAUAAUAAGAUCUUGCAAAGUCAAUCUACUUAGCAAACAAAACAAGAAGGAUGCCGACACAGGCUGAAUCAAUUGAUAAACAUCAUUGCUUCAAAAAGCUGCCUAUGCAGCCACAUAUGCGGUUCGGACCAUCAAUCACACCAUAUAUUACAUAUUCAAUGCAGUACGCAGUUAGACCACAUAUGCGGCCCCGCCCACGGGGGAGUGUAGUGGAGAUACGGUCCAUGUGCGCACAUGGAUGGUGUAAUUAUUAAAUAAUAAUCCAAUCCGUUGUCCAAAUCCGAUUUCUCUCUACCUUCGCAGAAAAAACAUUUAAAAUAAUACUAUUAUAUUAGCGACGUCAUAUUUUCAACUAAUCAAAUAAUUUUUUUAAUUAUCAUCACAUCAUAAUUAUAAAAAGUAUUUUUAUUGUUUUUUUUUGAAAUUUUUUCCUACGCGGGAGAGAGGGCAUCCUCGCCGGAGCGAUCGAGGGUGUCAUACUCUUACAGAAAUAAUAACAUACCCCAUCGUAUUCUUACAGAUAUAAUCGCAUACCUGAGUUGGAUUUUCAGCAAAAGAGAGUGGAGCUGAUUUUACUAGCAAGUGGUGCAUUAUAUAAGCCAUCAAACUCAUCAAGCCCAUCGACCCACCUGUGUAGUUACGGACGAGCAUCCGACAGUGGAACUUAAUUUUCUCUAAAACAUAUGCGUAAACGUCAUGAGCAGAUCUGGAGUAUCAUCUUUUGUAAACAAACUAUGCUUAUUGUCCAAUCUUGGCUAGUCCCGAGCCAAACUAGGAUGAGAUCCGAACCUGUUGAGUCAAAUCGGCGCAGACAGAUGGUACACCGGUGGUCCAGCAAAGAUAUGAAUUUUUCCUGUACACCGGGAGUACUAGGAAAGCCAGUGAUUUGGAAUUUCGUGCCAAUUCAAGAGAAGUUACAGUAACCACAAGCAGUUGCAAGCGGUUCCGAUCAGCUGAAGGUGGUCCGCAUAGCCAGGGUAGUGGCCGAUCAUGGAAAUAGAAUAACUGACUAAUAGGGGAGCGGCCUAUAAAUAGGGUAACAAUGCCCUAAAAAGAGGUCUUUUCCCUACGAACAAAAGACCACCCUUAUUUCCUCGCAUUUACAAGCAUUUCUUAGGAGUAGUCUACCUGUAAUUUUUACUGCUUUUCUCUAGGAGUAGUUCUAAGUUUAGAAUCCUGGAGUCUGUCUGCCCCACGGGCAUCACUCCGUUGUAAACUACCUACCACUGUAAACCCUAGCAAGCAGAGCAAUAUAAGGUCUUCUCGGCUCUUCAAGCCGACCAGAUAUUGAGCUAUUUAGCCAUUCGGCUCAACCUGCUGAUCAGUUCGUGCUUCUUCCUGCUCAUUCGGCUCUUCGGCCGACCUCCGAUCUUGUUUGAUUCGUACAUUCGGCUCGAUCAGCCGAACUGAAUUUACCAUAAAGCUUUCGAACUCGGCUGGCUCGAUCCCUCGUCAGCCGAAUCGCUUGAUCUGUCGAAAGGCGCACACUUCGAGGAUCAUUAUCUGUAAACGUAUCACACCCCGGCACAACCCCCGAGGAGGAUCUUUGACCGAGUCAAGGGUCAGGAGAAUAGGCUACCUAACAGAACCCAAUAAGCUACCGAAUGGAUACCGGUAUUCAGAGGUAAAAAAGGAAAAAAAUACAGAUGAGAGCAACUGGUAUUGCAUUAGCAACUUUCUUUUCCUUCCUAAUCUAAUUGGAGGAAGAAAGCACACAAGUAUAAUAGCAUUCAAGCAGAUGAACUUUGUUAGGUCCAGAACCUGAAAAGAUGUGAUUAGCAUUGAUAUUGAAAAUUCUCAGAAUUCAAUGAUGACGACAAGCCCUUUGCUUACAUGGUAAUUAAGUGUGCAAGCAAUCAUUUGUCAAUGGAGACAACAUGCAAACCUGAGCAUAUUUACGAAAAGGUAGUCCUUUAGAGAAGAUUGUAAAGGUGAGAACAGAGAGCAAAAGAGAUGUACCAUAAAUAAUUUCCAAACAUGGAGAUUCAGCUUUGAAAUUUCAAACAUAAUCAGACGAAAAGAACUCCACCUCAUAACAUAUAUCAGAAGAGAUGAAUACAAGCAAGUUUAGGCAUUACUUUUUGCUACUAAAUAAGAAUCAUUGCUUUCCACAAAUGUGGCUUUCCAAAAGUACCCAAUGCCAACAAGAGAAGAUGAGGUGCAGCAAAUCAGAAUUACAAUAUGAAAACUCUCGACUCUCAUCAUUAGUGUAAUUAAAAAACACGAGGAGAAAGAUCAACGGCCAAAACUUUCUGAAAUACAUGAAAUCAGCACAAACAGUAAGCAACAUAAGUCUCUCUAAAUGACCUGCAAGCAACAAAACAAACUAGCUGACAUAAAUAUUCAUCAAAGAUGGAAAACCUUUACCUAUUUUGAGGCCGACCACCUGGGCCUCUACCUCUACCAAAGACAUGACGACCUCCUCUUUGAUGAGGCUGUUUACCACCAGACAAUGAGGUCCCAAGAUUAAAUUGCACAGGGGUGUGUGCUCCUGCUACAGUGGGUGGUGGUUGUAUAUAAUUCUGAUCAGUAGGAAAACAAGAAAUGCCUUGGCCUUGCAUAUUGCUGCAGCGAAUUGGCACCUGGCCAAAGUUACCCUGUCCCAUAGGCACGACAGUCAUUACAGUGGGAGAUGGAUUCGCUGACCCACCAAUCAUUAAUGGAUUAGUAGGAAAUCCAGUAUUGGGAAAGAACUGCUGUUGACAUGGCAUUCCAUUAAGGAGGAGAUUUAAAUUCUGAUUCUGAUGUUGUUGCUGCUGAUUAUUAAUCUUCAGAUGCUGGUUUUGCAACAUAUUUGUCACCAUUCCUUGGAUGCCCAGAUUCUGCUGCUGUUGAGGAGGAAACACAUUAGGCAAAAAAGCAUUUGGUUGCUGUUGUAAGAACUGCAGAGAUGGGUUGAUUAAGCAGUUGCCCAUCUGAGCUGCAAUUGGAGCUGUAGGAACCAUAGGACCCGUUGGAACUGCUGGAACCAUAGAAGAAGAUCUUAUAAAAGAGUUUCCCGUUCCAAAAGAACAUCCAGGUUGGCUAAAAGGCGCCGAUGCAUGAGGAAGCGUAGACAGCUUCUCCCUCUGAAUGCCAUGAACCUUAAAAUUUGGCUUCUUAUUUUCAAAUUUUCUAUUCCCAUGUUGCUGCCUAUCAUUAGCACCCCUCUUUGCCUGUCUUAGAGAUUUUCUGUACUCGGCUUCCUUCUCAUCAUCAGAGAACUCAACCUCAUCAUUUAGCUCUUCAUCAUUCUCGCCCGAUGCAUCAUAGCCUUUCUUAUAGAGUUCCUUUUCAUUGAGAAUGUGAUUAGCAAACUCAGGAACAAAAGAGACAGGAGUGCCAACACUGAUCCCAGCAGGCAGCUCCUUGUCAGAAUUGUAUCUCACAACAUAAUAGGGAUUCUUUACAGGUCCAAAUAUUUCAUCAACGAGACCCAAUGCUUUCCUGCUCUCUGAUAUCCAGAGAAUAGAACCCUCGUUGAGAGGAUUGUGUUUCUCCAAGCCCUCGACAAUGACUCUGUCACCCAGCAUCUGAAAAAAUAAGAGAAGGAAAUGGCAUAGUCAUACUAAAAUUAGGGGGAAUAGCGGCAUGCUGAACAUUAUGCUUACCAUCUGAACAAAAAUCAACUUUUAGAGUAAUCUAGAUAUACCUAUUUAAUAUAUGAUCUCAACCAGUGCUUAAGUGUAACCUAGAUAUAUCUAUCUAAAUACAUGCUUUCACUCAGUAGUUAAGUGUAAUCACAUGUAUAGUUAUGCCUUCUCAACAAAGGCUAAAAGUUGCUUCCCAACAGCUUCAACAUGUUCUGCUUGAUGAAGAACAAUGACACAAGCCUGUAUGCAGGUAACCCAGACAGCAAAACUUACGCUUCCUAUAUGUCAAAAAAUUAAAAUUAUAGACUUAUGUUGGUACAUGCUAUUACUAUUUUCACAAUGUAAGAAUGAAUCUAUUCCUCCUCAUGUUAAUCAACUUUCUGACACCUAAAAUGCAUGGAAGAAUUGUGCUCUUUGUUGUUGUUUUUCUUAAAGAGUUUUUUUUUUUUUUGGGUGAAACACUAAACAUUGCGACAUCAAAUUAGCCCUCUGCUUGCAAUGGAAAAGAUCGAUAAAAAUAAACAGAGAGAAAAGAUUGGGCAUGUUGGUUCAACAAUAACUCACCGAGGAAAUUACGCCAACAGGUAAUGUCUGAUGAUGUGGUUCCAAGUGCACUUCAAUUUUAGAAACUGGUGGGAGAACCUGCGGAACAUGUUUUAUCUAUCAUUAAACAAAAUAUUCACGCUAAACUUCGAAACCAUAUAUGCAAAAUAAAGGGAAAGACCAAUUCACUUAGAAAAGAAAAGUUCAGACUAGCAAAAUCAGGAAAUGAACGGCAUCAUACCUCGAUUUCAUGCUUGGACCUGACAGGACCUUUCAUAACACCCUCAUCCCCAUCACUGCCAAUUAUUUCACCGUCUUCGACAUCUACUGCCUCAUCCACCAUUCUAGCUUCUUCUCCAUCAUUGCCGACGUCUUCUUCAUCUUCUUCCUCUUGGCUACUUGUAGAGGAAGAAGAGUGCUGACUAGAUGAAUCCUCGUCAUCGUCGUCGUCGUCAUCGUCGUCGUCAUCAUCAUCAUCAUCAUCAUCAUCAUCUUCUUCAGACUCUGUUUCUCUGCUCUCUUGCUCCUCGCCAACCUGAUCACUAACCACAUGAACCUCAGAAACCACAUCUUCUUUAGGUUCUUUCGCACCCUGAUCCAAUCCAAUUGUUUCUUCUUCGCCUGCAAGGCUACCACCGCUAGAACCCACUACAGCAUCAUUAACACUGCUACCAGUCACAUUGAUGACGCUAUCCUUACUUUCCACCGCGUCUGGGCACGAAUGAACAGUGCCGCAGUCGGAGUCUUCGACCAAGUUAACCUUAUUCAUCUCCUCAUGUAUGAGCAAGCCCUUCGGUGCAUCUUCCUUAGUCUCCAAAUCGCACCUUUUGGCACCAUCGUCAUCGCCGAGCAUCGCGGCGGAGUCGAAAUCGAGAAGCCACUCCUCGACGGGGUCGAAGUUGGGGAGGAGAAAGGCGUCGACUUCGUCGUCGAGCCGAGGAUGAGGAGGAGAAGAAGGGUCACGAGAAGGGUGGGCUCUGCCGUCGUCGUUUCUAAUAGCAGGAGAGUUCCAUGACCGUACCCCCACCAUGGACGAUGAUAUAGCGGCUAUGGAUUUUGGUGCGAGCUCGGUGGACUUGUGUGGAAGCUACGAUGCUGUAGUAAAAAAUAAUAAUAAACCAUAUUAUGCCUUAAAAUAAAAAAUAAUUAAGCAAAUAAGUUGCCAAAGAUAGUCCAUAUUUAAAUGUAAAAUAUAAAAGGUUCACAUACAAACAUAGUUAAAAACUAAAUACAAGAUGAAAUUGACACUUUGUAUAGUUGCCUGGUUGGCUAGAAAGAGCACCACAAGGCUCCAUCAAAUAUAUUGGAGGUUCUGAAAUUCCUGGUACCUAAGUUAAUUAAGAUUAUUUAGCUCUAUGUUUGGGUCUUCUUUGUGCAUAACAGAAUGGACACAUUCAAUUAAGCAAUAAGCAGUAAGCACUCGAGCCAUUUGUGUAUAAAAAAAAAUCCAUCAGGACUAAAAGCUUCCAACUUUUGCUUUGAAGAACGAAACUCAAAUCGUACCUGGUUUGUAUUUGUAAAGAACCAUCCGAUUACUGAUCUAUCGUUGGAUAGUGGAAGCGGAAGCGGAAGCGGAAGCGGAAGCAGAAGAGGAAGAGGCGACGAGGAGGGUUUCGAUUUCUGAAGAGUGAAGAACUCGAUCUUCGAUCUUCGAUUUCUGAAGAGGAGGGCUUCCGAUGGCGUUCGGCGAGCGGCCGGAAGGGAAGAGGGGGACCGCCGCAGGGGUCGGUGGCAGGGCCGCACCGCCGCAGCCGCAGGGGUGAUAAGUUAGGGCAAACCCUUUUUUUCGGAGGGGUGGGGGUGGGACUCGUGGGAGGGAGAGGGAGGCGAUUCUUUUCAGGAAUGGUUUUUUUAAAAAAAAAAAAAAAAAAUUGGGCGACAAGGCGAAGCGAGUUUCUUUGAACGGUUUUUUUUUUCUGUUUUGGGCCACCCGCGAGGCGCAUGAGUCGUAGCUCGCAGGUCGUAGGCUCGUAGCUCGCAGGCAGCAAUCGGGCCAUUUUUUUGGGACUGAAUUAUUCGCGAACCGUAUUUCGUUCGCGAAUAAUUACUUUUGCUCAAAAAAAAUGAAUUUUUUUGAAUUUUUGGGGUAAAAUUCGAAAACGGCUGUUUUAUUCAGCAUUUCAAAAAUUCGUGAAUAAUGCACAAAUAAUUCACGAAUUAACUAACUAUGAUAGCGGCUAGGGAUUUCAGUACGAGCUCGGUGGAAUUGUGUAGAAGCUACGAGUACGAAGCCUAUAUAUAUUUGGGAACUCGUAGGAGAGACGAGAGGGAGGAGGGUUUCGGCAGGACAGCGAAACAACAGCGGCAGCGGAAGAGCGCUGAAGACUUGCAUGGCGUGGCCUUUUAUUAGGUUAUACGUUAUAGACAGCAACACAUAUAAACAUAAACAUAUUUUCCUUCAGGCACACGAAGUGUGAGGCCCAGUAAUGCGCGCCACAGAAACUCUCGAACCAUUCACUCCUGGACCGCUCCUACGAGGCCCAUUUGGAAUCCGCUGUUCAGUGUUCAGGCCCACAUGCCAAGACGGUGCCUGCGGUGGCAACGCACCCGGCCCGUGCAUUGAUUCGGUUGCUGGGCCAGGCCGUGUUAGAUUUUCUCGCAGCCGCACUUUUAGAUCUGGCCCGACUUUCUUUAUUGGGCCAUAGGCGCUUGGUUAACGAACUGGCCAGACCAUCUCUCAUAUAGGCCGUAUCUUCAUCUCUUCUGCUUUCUACCUGACUAUACUAGGUCGGAAGAACGAGGGCCUUUUGAGCUGAAAUUUGGUGUUAUCUGACGCAAAACAGCCCCUCGGGCCUGUUGCGAGACAAUUUGAUGAGGAUACUACGGCCCCUCAGCGCUUUAUAGUCAGUCCGAGACAAUUUGAUUAGAUGGUAAAAUUUGAUUUUGAGAUAAUUGAAAAUUAUGGAUCAUGUUUGUUGUCAAAAUGAAACCCCAAUUGUAGCAGGUUCUAAUGAUUCAUAAUUUGGGAAACAGAUGGAACUCCACUCAGUCCAAGCCGGGCCAAAGUCAUGGACUAGUCAUGCCUGGACCAACAAUACCGGGGAUCAUGCUACGUGUGGCUUAAUGGUCAGGCCCAAUUCUUAUCAAGACUCCGCCCGUAAAUAUUUUUUUGACUCAGCCCCACGGAAGGCCCAUUUAACGUGAGGCCUCCAACUUCGCGUCAAAAAGUGAAAACUUUCUACUUCAGGUAAGAACCUGAGACUUACCAAAAGUAGACCUAUCGUUGUUAAGUCUAGUUUUGGUAUGUCUCGGGACUUACCCAAAAAAAGAAAGUUUUAGUUUUUGACGAAAAUUUCACCCGUCGAACCGGUGGGCAUCACAUUCAAUGGGCCGUACGAACGGACAAAACGAAUCCGGUCUCGGCCGAUUAUCCGCCCUUUGCUUGUAAUGUGGGGCGAUUGUGUGGACGGUGGACCCUGCCCUCUGUGCUGUUAUGCCGACCCGAUUCCCUUAUUUUUAUAGGCCGUGUUUUCUCCGAUUCCCAUAUUUUGUAUAGGCCGUAUUUUUUGGGCUGGGCUUUCCCUGAGCCCGGCCUUCUAAAUUAGUGCGUUUAUUAUCCGCCUGUUGGACCAUACAUCUGGCGCGACCUGGCCUAUGGAGCACUUCUGCGAAAGAGUACACUUAAUCCAAAGAGAACCCAUCCCAAUUAAUAAUGCGAGAAGAUGCAGGAGGAUUUUACGGAGAUGGUUGUUGCCUACUCCGUCGCUCUUCUCCCUACUGACCCGGACGUUACUUUGAACUCAGUCCUUAAUCCCCUUUAUUACAACGUAUAAAAUAUAAAUUAAAUUAAAUAAAGUAUCAAGUCAAAAAUCCAAAAAAAAAAGAAGAAAAAAAAAAGAAAAAAAACGGGUAGGGCCUUACUUGUGCGCGGAUGGUGAGAGGCCGAAGUUGUAUCCUCCUCCCGGUUAAUUUGCUUGUCUGUGCAUCUUCCCGUUCCCUUCCUUCCGAGUAUCUUUCUGUAAAAUAAAGAAAUAGCAAGCACCUGAUAGAGAAUCCCAAAAGAAAGUUGAGUAAAAUUUAACUGAGAGGAAUAGAUAAAAAAAAAAAGAAAAAAAGAAAAAAAAUAAAAAGAAAAAUGGCGACCAUGAAGCUGGGCUCUAAGGCAGAAGCCUUCUAUCUGGAAGGCCAGACGUGGUACUCUUAUUAAAAUUUCUCAUCCCCAUUCCUACUUGGUCUCUUUCUACUUAUUGGCUUCUUUCCUGAAUAAUUAAAUGUGACAAACUACAGUGUCGGUAGGCUUACAAACAGAGAUCAAUGAAUCAAUAAUCACCUCUACAUUUACAGAAAGCCAAUAAGGCUUCCUAUUAUUGAAAUUUCUGUCUAGAGUGCUCUCCUUCAGUCACCAGCUCUUGCCUUCUUCACAGGAAAUGCGUGACUGAGCUCGUAAGCGAUGUUGUUGUUGAAGUUGGAGAAAUGUCCUUUCAUCUCCACAAGGUAUUGCCUUAACUUGGUUUUGAUCACAAAUGCAGUUAUUUCGAUUGUGCAAUUUUCUUUCUCCGUUUCAUAUUUUACACGUUUUGUGUAGCUAGAAAUUAAACUGUCGAAUUUAUAGGGCUUGUGCCCCUAUAUCUUCCUUCAAAAGGAAAAACAAAAUAAAAAGAAAAAAAGAAAAAAAGAGAAGUAAUUACUCUAUUUAUUAGAUGGAACAAUAUUAAAAUUUCUUUGCUAGAUUUGUCUAGUUAGGAAAAUUGUGCAGUAUCACAUUCCAUUUUUAGGUUAAGAGAAUGGAUCCUGCUUGCUUAGUCUAACCCUUAAUUUUUUUUUUAAGAAUCGAUUUAUCCCAAAGCAAUUUUCCUAUAUUAAAAAAUCAUUAAAAUUGUAUUCUUUGUUUGUUGAAAUUUUCAUCAUACAUGACCAAGUGCAAACCACGAUAUUGUAGUUCCCAUUGCUCAACAAAAGUGGGCUUCUUCAAAAGAUGAUCAGCGAAUUCCACAGCGGGGAGGAAAAGAGUUGCAUUCUGCAGCUCCAUGAAGUUCCUGGCGGCGCCAAGUCCUUUGAGCUGGUGACAAAGUUCUGCUAUGACGUGAAGAUCGAACUGAACGCCCUUAAUGUGGUUUGCUUGCGAUGUGCUGCUGAGUAUCUUCGCAUGACCGAAGAUUACGCAGAAGGUAACCUCAUAGCGCAAACAGAAAACUUCCUUAAUGAAGUAUUCGGAAAUUGGAAGGACUCGAUUAAAGCUCUUGAAACUUGCGAAGAUGUUCUCCCCUAUGCAGAAGAGCUACAUAUCAUCUCGCGAUGCAUAAAUUCUCUUGCGUCUAAAGCAUGCGCAGAUCCCGGACUCUUUGGUUGGCCUGUAGGCGGAAAAUCAACUUCAGUUCUGUGGAAUGGAAUAGGUAAUAAUUCUGGAGACGGUCAUAAAUCAGCAGGUGGAGUGGACUGGUGGUACGAAGAUAUUUCUUUCCUAAGCCUACCUUUAUUCAAAAGGCUUAUCCAGGCCAUGGAAGCCAAAGCCAUGAAGCCCGAGAAUAUAGCAGGAGCUCUCAUGUUCUAUGCAAGAAGGUUCCUUCCGGGCCUGACGAGAAACUCGAGCUUCCGCGAUGGCACCACCGCGCGCAUAAAUCCAACCACACCUGUCUCAGCACCAUCUGAAAGCGAUCAGAGAGUCUUUCUUGAAGAGAUAGUUGGAUUACUGCCUGCGAAGAAAGGUGUGGCAUCAACCAAGUUCUUACUUGGUAUGCUUCGGACUGCGAUGAUUUUGCACGCAAAUCCUUUGUGUAGAGAGAACUUGGAGAAAAGAAUAGGUGCGCAGUUGGAUGACGCUUCGUUGGAAGAUCUGUUGAUACCGAACUUGGGCUACUCGGUAGAGACUCUGUAUGAUAUAGAUUGCAUGCAGAGGAUCGUGGACCAUUUUAUGAUGGGGGAGCAAUUGCAAACAGCAGGUGGUGUUGCUUCUCCAGGCAUAGUGGAAGAGGAGGGUGGGCCUUUACCUUUAAUGGACCCAACUCCCUCACUGACUCCUAUGACAAUGGUUGCCAAACUGAUGGAUGGUUAUCUUGCAGAGGUUGCGCCUGAUGUUAAUUUGAAGCUCCCCAAGUUUCAGUCCCUCGCGGCAGUUAUACCAGAUUAUGCAAGGCCUCUUGAUGAUGGCAUCUAUCGUGCCAUCGACAUUUACCUUAAGGUAGCAUGCAUUUCUAUCUAUCUAUUAUAUUUAGUGGAAAAUUUGACCUUUCUCUGCUUAGAAUCACAAUGAUACUUUGAUAUGUCAAGCAUAUACCAUUAACAAAAAAUAGAAGUUGUGUUUCUGGGAUUUGAGAAGAGCAGAUGGCCUUUUUUUCCUUUCUUCCAGUGGAUGCUAGCUCUUCUUUUUGGUUAGUUGUGUUGGAUUUCUCCUUUUUAUAAAUGUAUACAAAGGGAAUCACCCUCGGAUAUUUUCAUCAAAAAAAGAAACAUUAACAAUUUGACCAGAAAGAAGAUUUCUGAAUUAUCGUAUCUAAUUUCACCUCAGAUACUUAUAGGUGUAGGAGCCGGUGAAAUUAGCACCACAGGCCUGAUUGUUUUAUCGACUUUUGAAUUUUGAGUUAAAACAACAUAAUGAUAUACUCUGCUACUUUCAAGCUUGGAAUCUUUAGUUCCACAAAUUAUCUAUAUUCAUGGCAAUACAUUAAAAAUGAACCAACACUCCGUUAGUAUUCUGUGCCUAAAAAGGUUCUUCUUUGUCUAUACCAUUUCCAAAAAUAAGUUGUUACGCAGCUUCUGAAAAAGAGAAGGGCAAUUUGUUGUAUAGACAAUGAUAUCGAAAUAGCUGCGACGUCCAUUCUGUUUCAUAAGAAGAUUUUAGCUUGCAUGGGGUUUCCAACCAUUUAUGUUUUUGGCUAUUGCAACAUUGCAGUCGCACCCGUGGCUCACCGAGUCCGAGCGUGAGCAACUCUGCCGACUGAUGAACUGCCAGAAGCUAUCAUUGGAGGCCUGCACACACGCUGCUCAGAACGAGAGGUUGCCCCUCAGAGUGGUGGUCCAAGUCCUCUUCUUCGAGCAGCUCCGCCUCCGGACCUCAAUUGCCAGCUGGUUCUUCGUCUCUGACAGCAUGGACAACUCGCAUGGGCCCCACACCAAUCUGAUGCUUCACAAGAACAAUGUCGACGGAGCAAUCCAAGCAGAGAUCACUCAUGAACAACAACACAAGGAUGACAGCUGCCCCCCUGUGGGGGUUGAAGACAUGAGGCUGCGAGUUUCGGAGCUUGAGAAGGAGUGUUCGAGUAUGAAGCAAGAAAUUAAUAAGCUUGGGAAGACUAAGAGUUCAUGGAACAUAUUCACUAGGAAGUGUGGUUUCGGGGUAAAGGCGCAAGAUACAGUAAGCGGCAAGUGAUUACUCUUGAUUUCUAGGAACAGUUGACCUGAUCAAAAGCAGAAGCUAGAAAUUUUAGGAUAUUGAGGAUAUCAUUAAUUACUGGUAGGAAUUUAUUAAUUCUUAUGUAACUAUAUUUAUGUUGUCCCAUUUCUGUGCAAUUUGUUGUGGCUUUUCCACUGUAACACCUGUUAUUCCUACGAAUGAUCAUGCAUAUAUCAGCUACUGUCUUCAGGAUUCCACAAAUAUAAACAUAUACUUAAUUUUCUUUGCAUCGGAAAAAAGCUGUCCUCUUUUAUUUGUUAUUGAACUCUUAAAAUCUGUCAUCCUAUGUGAGGUUGAAAUAUUCAAGUCUGUGCUUGUGAUAAUCACUAUACUCUUCUUUUCUCUACUUUUCUUUUUCUUUCUUUAACAUGCAUUCAAUAUUGGGAAACUUUGAAAACUGAAGUUAGCAUAUUUCUUAACAUCUUUUUGGUUUAUCGACACAAUCAAUAGUAAAAGAAAUGAUAUUAACGUGUCACAAAAGAUCUGCAACAGCAUUCAGAUAAAAAGAAUAAAAAAUAAAAAAUAAAAGACCUGCACUGAUCGGCAUGAUGAACUUUUUCCUAUUUUUCUCCCAUCAACAUAAUCAGAAUCAUCAAUCUCUUUACUGCCCGCUUUAUAGUACUUUCUGGAACUGUUACAAAUUCUCCCGCACGAUAUAGAAAACAAAAAGACUGCCUAUUGUUAAGAGCAAGAGAAAAGUUGGCUCCAGUUUAAACUCACUCCACACCUCUGACUACACUCUCUCUGUUUGGAAAAAUACGCUUUGAACAACACUAAGUAAUACUUUGAUCAUUUAUUUAUUUAUUUAUUAAUUCGCAAGUAAACGACAGUAGUGGGAAACACGUGGCCACGGGAUUUCAUUAACCAUCGAGUCUGCAGGCGGCGGGCCGCGUGAGGCGGGAGAGAAGCAGAGGGGGCCGGCCGGCCCGGGCAAAGAGAGCCGCGAAGGAUUGCGCCAGCCCCACUGCAAUUGCCAACUUCACCUGCCCGCGCCUCGGGAUCGGAUGGCUUGAAAGCCGCCUCCUUCUGAUGCCGCCGCCGCCACCGUUGAAUCUCCUCCUUCCGGCCAUCUCUCCCGAUCUUUAUUAGAUAUCUUGGUUCUCCCUCCCGGAGCUCUAAGUCUAACUAACAGUGAGCAGCCGAAUUGAAACUUAGUGGAGAUCGAGAGGAGAGGAAGGGAGAGGAGCUUAUAUAUAUAUAGCUUCCGAGCUUAUCGACGUAGAAUGCGUGAAUGUGCCACUCGAGAAACAUGGAGGCUGUACGCGAUCUAAUCAUCCAACGUCGUCGGAGUUGGGCACGGUAUCAACGGGAUAAUCCGACGGAUGAGGCUUGCGUCCGACAUCUUCAUCUUCGGAUACCGAGCCUGGUAGUUCGUAAGCUACAUUGGCACAGCCCCACGAACGAACAAACUCUCAUCCUGUAAGGAAAAUCACGGUGUAAAACUAAUAAUAAAUAAAUAAAACCGAUGGGUAAAAAACAAGAGGAGAAAUUUUUCUUUUUUUUUUUGUUUUAAAAAAAAGGUAGGAAAGAGUUAUAUAUCCUGCCCACUAAUCGAAGCCUCAUUUAAGGGGAAUCUCGAAGUAAAAAAUGAGAAGAGUGGAACACGAGAUGGGAUUGGUUUCGUGGUCUAGGGGUGUCGUAGAUCAAGGGCCUCAUCCUUAGCCCUUUUCUUCGGUUAACACUUAACACUCGUGCUAGGGCUAAAAAAAUGUGUUGGAUCUGAUGGGCUCCAUAGUUUGCAGAGUGCCAGAUACAUGUGAGCAGUGAAGAAGCCCAUAAAAGGUUGUUUUAUUUUUUUUAUUUUUUAUUUUUUGCAUUUAGCCUUCUCAAAUUUUUUUUUUUACAAAUACCUAAACAUAUAUAUAUAUAUAUAUAUAUGACCUUCUUUUUACAACGCGAAUGUCACAUUGAUAUUUUAAAUUAAACAAUAAUGAUUCAAUCACGGUUUAAAUACGUAAUUAAAUCAUCAUGUUUAACUUAAAAAUACCAUUUAAACACUCAGCAUAGCAAAGAGUAGAAUAUUUAUACAAAUAUAAAUUUAUUAAGACCAUUUAUUUUUAAAAAAAUUGAGAUUGCUAAAUGCAAAAAAAAAGCUCACUAUAAAAUUCAAAGGAACGAGAUUUCAAAGAGCCUAUCAGUGCUUUUCCAAACAUUUUGCUGCAACUCAUGAAAAGAUAAUCAGUUUUCGUUUGCAAAAGGGGUAAAAAGAAAAAAAAAGACAAGACGAAGGAAAUAAGCAAACUGUUUGCACUAUUAAUUUGGAACAAUAUACAGCUUUUGGGAAGACCAAUUUUCCAUUAAUACAAAGUCACCGAUCAAUAGGAAGGGGGUCCGAUCCCCCACACACCUCUCUUAAUUAAAAAGAAGCAAUUUAAUCGGGCUUACAAACUUGUUUAAACAAAAUAGAGACAGCAGAAGAGCAAUAUACAUUUUAGUUCUCUUCAAAUAUACAUAGAUAUUGAAAAUGCUAGUUUGAUUCUCAUUACUCACAGAAAAUCACAAUAAGGAUUUGAAUGACACCCACGGAAGACUUCACAGACUAUCAGGAGCACAUUCUUUAGCCCCGCAAACAAGCCGAUCAUGAGCACCUCAACAAUCGCUUUUGAAAAUGAGGCAGGAUCUCAGCCUGUUCACACACACACACACACACGCGCACGCACAGACUACUUAGGCAGAGGGAUCAAUUUUAAGAACCACCUCCAUUCCAAUAUCCCAAUAUUAUUAAGAUUAAGAAAGAUAAAGGCAUAAAAACAGAACUCUACAGGUAAGCACAGAAUCUGAACAUCCAGAUACAUUCAUAGCAUCGUUUCCAUAGAGCACUGAUGACACUGAAUAUCCAUCUGCAGAACAAACCAUCCGUAGCCAAUUACCAUGGCUACAGAAAUUUUUGUGCACAACGAAUGACACUGACAGAGCAAACAUUGCUUUGUAAAAGACCAAUUAUAAUAAAAUGUAUAAAGCAUUUAGUUUGUAUAUGGGGUUAUAACUACUCUUUCAAGACCAAGUGUUUUCCUCUUAAGCACAACUGACAGAGAAAUAGAGUUCAGGUAAUAAAACACGAGCAUGAAGUAUACUUCACUGAAUCUGUACAACACUCUCCAGUAAAUUACAGAAAGAAACCAAAUAUAUUUCAACUCGCAAGUCUAAAAAUUAGACUAGACAGCCGUAAAAUUCUCGAACACAUGAAGUCAAGUGUGAUAGUAGCUGACCAUCAACCAUGAUCAAUGAAAUGGCACCGGUGCAUGCAAUCAUUUCCUUCAACAAAGUAACCUGGAAUCGUCUGAUACAUAUAUAAGCGUCAAAAUGCUGCCCUCAUAGCACCACGUGCUGCCUCACGCUUCAUCUCUGCAGCUUUACCACUUCCUCGGAAGUACAUCUAUACUUGCUGCAUCAAUAACGACAAAUGAUAAAGCAAAAAUUGAUGGCAAAAAAAAAGUCCUCUUUUCCAACUAAACUUGGAUUAAGCCUCAAGGAAAAAGCACCCUAAAUAUGCAAAGAAAGAUAAGUUUAUUGUCUUUAUUAAAUUAUAUGGAAACAAUCAUUGUUCUUAAGCUAUUAGAGAACGUUGUUUAUAUAUAUAUAUAGUAGGUCUUGUGUGCUGUUAGGAGCACGCAGGCCUCCGUGCUACUAAGCUGUUUUCGACAAUGGAGUUCCGAAUCGAUGAUCGGCUCCAUUAAACUUUAUCUAGCGUAUUUGAAGUAUUUAGAAAAUAAAUUUUGCGAUUUUUCGAUAUAAUUUACCUUGCGAUCGAAAGGAUUUAAAAUGUAGCACACUGGACCUUUGCAAAUUGCGAGGUUCGAGUGUUCGAUUUGUAUUCCGAACUUUUCCACACUUGGUGGAGGGCCGUCGAUGGUAUACCGGUCUAAAAAUUUGAUCUCGAGAGUUUUGGCAGAGUUCUGAGAGUUUUACUCUCGGAGACCGGUCCCUGAUAGGAGAGACCGGUCCCCUAGUGAACAGUGCUGCGUAGCCGGCGAGGCAACCGGUCCCUGGCAGUUGAGACCGGUCCCCGAGCGCGUCUGCGCGGGGAGAGACCGGUCCCGCGCAGGGAGAGACCGGUUCCCGAACGUUGGAUUUUCGGGGGGCAGGCUGAGAGACCGGUCCCAGGUCGGGGAGACCGGUCCCUCUGGGCGAAAACUGCCCAGACCGGGCUGAUGUAAAUUUGAGUUUUUGAGGGGCCUAUGUGGAUUUUGUUACUUUAGAGGCUAUAAGCAGCCUCUCCUCCCCUCUCACUCUCAUUUUCUCUCCCUCACACUCUUCCUACACUUCUAGAGAGAGAAAGGGAAGGAGAAGAAGNNNNNNNNNNNNNNNNNNNNNNNNNNNNNNNNNNNNNNNNNNNNNNNNNNNNNNNNNNNNNNNNNNNNNNNNNNNNNNNNNNNNNNNNNNNNNNNNNNNNNNNNNNNNNNNNNNNNNNNNNNNNNNNNNNNNNNNNNNNNNNNNNNNNNNNNNNNNNNNNNNNNNNNNNNNNNNNNNNNNNNNNNNNNNNNNNNNNNNNNNNNNNNNNNNNNNNNNNNNNNNNNNNNNNNNNNNNNNNNNNNNNNNNNNNNNNNNNNNNNNNNNNNNNNNNNNNNNNNNNNNNNNNNNNNNNNNNNNNNNNNNNNNNNNNNNNNNNNNNNNNNNNNNNNNNNNNNNNNNNNNNNNNNNNNNNNNNNNNNNNNNNNNNNNNNNNNNNNNNNNNNNNNNNNNNNNNNNNNNNNNNNNNNNNNNNNNNNNNNNNNNNNNNNNNNNNNNNNNNNNNNNNNNNNNNNNNNNNNNNNNNNNNNNNNNNNNNNNNNNNNNNNNNNNNNNNNNNNNNNNNNNNNNNNNNNNNNNNNNNNNNNNNNNNNNNNNNNNNNNNNNNNNNNNNNNNNNNNNNNNNNNNNNNNNNNNNNNNNNNNNNNNNNNNNNNNNNNNNNNNNNNNNNNNNNNNNNNNNNNNNNNNNNNNNNNNNNNNNNNNNNNNNNNNNNNNNNNNNNNNNNNNNNNNNNNNNNNNNNNNNNNNNNNNNNNNNNNNNNNNNNNNNNNNNNNNNNNNNNNNNNNNNNNNNNNNNNNNNNNNNNNNNNNNNNNNNNNNNNNNNNNNNNNNNNNNNNNNNNNNNNNNNNNNNNNNNNNNNNNNNNNNNNNNNNNNNNNNNNNNNNNNNNNNNNNNNNNNNNNNNNNNNNNNNNNNNNNNNNNNNNNNNNNNNNNNNNNNNNNNNNNNNNNNNNNNNNNNNNNNNNNNNNNNNNNNNNNNNNNNNNNNNNNNNNNNNNNNNNNNNNNNNNNNNNNNNNNNNNNNNNNNNNNNNNNNNNNNNNNNNNNNNNNNNNNNNNNNNNNNNNNNNNNNNNNNNNNNNNNNNNNNNNNNNNNNNNNNNNNNNNNNNNNNUAUAUAUAUAUAUAUAUAUAUAUAUAUAUAUAUAUAUUCAAGUCUCCUUUGACAAAUAUGUAAAUAAAGGUCCCUAGAAAUAGUUAACUAUCAUGCUUAGUAACAAGAGCGUGGGCCACUCUCAUUUAACAUAGAGAAGGAAUAGACUACUAUUCAAGAUGUAAUUCAUUUAGUUUUUCCCAAAUUCUAAUUAAAAGAAAUAUCCACCUGAAUGACCCAAAUGCUGAGUAGAGACUCGAGGCAGAAUAAUACAAAUCCAACGAAGUAAAAUAUCUGCAGGUAAAUAGAAUAGGGUGAGGUAGGAAUUGUGAACAAAAGGAAACUAAGGGUAGGUUUGGUUCCCUGUAAAACUAGCCCAAAAAGUAUUUUUGAUUUGAAAAAUAGUUCUCCGAUCAUUUGGUUCGAAGCAAAAUUGCUUUCUCGUAAAAAUAUUUUACAGAUUUUGGAAAAAAAACACUAGGUUUUCAUUUUCCGCUGGUUUUGAGAGGAAAACGAAAACUCCUCAGCAAAGCAACGCGGCUCACCGCCUAGGUCACACGUGGACUUCUCGUGGCCUGCGUGAGAGAGAGGUCCACGGUGAACCUAGAGAAUGAUGGUACUAUAUUAUAUAUAGUACCGAAGCUCCGGUACUAUAGUCUUGUUUUCGAUUGUAGGGUGUUCAAAUUAAUAAUCCACACCGUUAAAUAUGAUCUAGAAACCAAAUUUCAUAAUUUUUUUACAUCAUUUACCAAGCGAUCACAGGGUCUCAAAAAUAACUAUUUUAAUGGUCGAUGUGGCACAUUUUUAAGCUCAACGGUGUAAAAGUAUCCAAAUUAUAUGAAAAUUUAAUAAAAAAUUUUAUUUAACAUCAAGAGUAAGAAUAAUACUUCCGAUUUGAAAUUUGAGUCCUUUAUCACCAUUUUUUAUUAAAUUUUUAUUUUCAGCCAUUCAUUUUGAGACUACUUGUUCAUUAGGCAAACGAAGCCAAAAAAUUAUAAAAAUUAAUUUCUAGAUAGUUCCAAUAGCAUAGAUCAUGUCUAACGGAACCGACCACUGAAUCGGAUGUCCCAUCAUUGAAAACAACUUACAAGCACGAGGCCUCCGUACUUUCGAAAACAUAGGAGCCUAGCUCGCCCUCUCUCUCUCUCUCAUAUAUACAUAUAUAUAUAUAUACACACAUAUAUACACAUAUAUAUAGGUCGUGGCUACUAUACGAGUAUUGGAGCUCUCGUACUCAUAAGUUGUUUUCGAUGAUGGAGCUUCCGAAUCGACGAUCCACUUCGUUAAGUAUGAUCUAGAGUAUUUGAAACUUCUAGAAAAUAAAUUUCGUAAAUUUUCGAAAUCAUAAUAAAGUCCAUCAAGCGGGUAUAAAAUAAACGGUCAAAAUCGAACGACGUCCUAAAAAAUGAUGAUCAGAUCCUUCAAUUCAAGAUCGGAGUUAUUGAUCUUUAUCUAGGUAGUGAAUAGAAUUUUCUAUCAAAAUUUCAAUUAAUUUUCGCUUCUUUUACACCGUUAAACUAGCAAGUAUCUCUUACCACCAUUAAAUAAUUGUCAAAUUUGUGACCUCUGAUUGUAAGAUAAAUGAUGUCGGAAAAUAUAAAAUUUGAUUUCUAGAAAGUUUUAAAUGCUGUAAAUAACGUUUAACGGUAUGAAUCGUCGAUUCGGAGGAGCUCUAUCAUCGAAAACGAUUUAUGAGUACGAGAGCAAUCGACUGCAUUAAAUAGGUAUAGUAGGGACUAGUAGCUGGACUGUGUAGUAUAUACUAUCAUACUUAUAUAAUAUAUAUAUAUAUAUAUAUAUAUAUAUAUAUAAAAUAGGUCUUGUGUGCUACUAGGAGAAUAGAGGUCUUUAUGCUCCUAAGUUGUUUUUUAUAAUGAUUUUUGAUAAUGGAGCUUCCGAAUCGAAGAUCGAUUCGUUAGAUACUUUAAAUUAUAGAAUACUAAAAUAAAAAAAAUGUGAAAGUACAUGAUGGUAUUUAUUUUUUUUUUAUUUUAUUGUUUCUCAAUAUAUAUAUAAAAAAAAAACAACACCGGGUCAAACGGACUGUUUCAGAGUUCCAAUCAAAUUGGACCUCAGCUUAGAUAUUUUUGUGCCACGUGGCACCGCGUACUCCGACUCACGUGUAGGGCCCACACGGGCCGGCACCUCCACCAAUCGCUACGCACUUAUCGGUGGUCCAUUAAGCACUUUUUUCGCCCGACCCACUUCAAUCUCCGACCCUGCUCCUCUUUCGGACCCCACCGAAUCCCAUCCGUCCAUUUUAAUCCUACGGUCGCUAUCAUCUCAUCCGAACAUUCUAGAACAUUACAAACUCUAUAUAAUCGUCUCUUCAUGUCCCUCGUUGUCUUUCAAACCCUAGCGGUUGAUCUCUCUCUCUCUCUCUCUCUCUCUCUCUCUCUCUCUAAUCUCUCUUCGUCGUCGUCUUCCUCCUCAGAACUAUGGCGGGGAAGGGAGAGGGACCGGCCAUCGGGAUCGACCUAGGCACGACCUACUCGUGUGUCGGGGUGUGGCAACACGAUCGCGUGGAGAUCAUCGCCAAUGACCAGGGGAAUCGCACCACCCCCUCCUACGUCGCCUUCACCGACAGCGAGCGGCUCAUCGGCGACGCCGCCAAGAACCAGGUCGCCAUGAACCCCACCAACACCGUCUUCGGUGAGAUCUCUUCCCCCAUUUAGAACCAUAAACGCUAGAUCUGUGUGUAUCUUACUUAGAUCUGGGAUAAUGGGCGUGCUUUUAGUUGUUCUUGUUGUAGAUCUGUGAUUUGAUUUAUGUUGUUUGACUUGCUUUGAGUGUUUUUUGGUAGAUCUGUUUCGGUGGCGUUGUUCGUGAAUUGUGCUUUUGUAUCUUGUACUGAAUCACGUUGGCAUGUUCCAAAUUAGGAUAUGAAUAGGUUUAAGUUUUUUGGUUCCUUAUAACUGUCGAUAAACACAUAUACAACAUGAUUCCCUGAUCUAAACAGGGUCUUAGUAUCUCUACAUAAAAAGAGGCAAUUUGAUACACUUGAUUUUAGUAUGAAUAUUCGUGUAGAUCUGGAUAUUCGUUUAUGGUCCUUGAGAGUUCAGAUUUCUACACAUAUAAGUUAGUGGAGGCAUCCUCCAUCAUAGGAUGAAGUUAGUUUCAUGUGUGGGGACUGGAAAAGGACUAGUAGAUUGAAAUUAGUAUGUUGUAAUUGAUCAAGGGGUUCAGCUAUUUUUUAUUUGUUACUAGUUUUGCCAAUCAGAUGCUAUUUCUCAAGAAUGGAUGUAGAUCAGAGUCCUCUUUUCAUAAUUGAUUUAAAGAGAACUUCUCUUUUGUUAUGUGUUACUCAUACUUUUGAAGUUUUUCUACUCCAUACUGUAGCUAAAGUUUCUCCUUGGAGCAUGUUUUAUAGGAAAUGAAUUUGUCACCAACCUUCUCCAUUGCUAGUUCUCUUCAAUACCUCUUUUUAUAUUGUUAUAUUGACCUUUAUCUAGAACAGCAGGGAGUAGAAGAUGUUUUAAGACAUUUCCUUUGCAUUUAGUCGUAAUUUCAAUAUUGAUAAUAAAGUUUCUGAUUGAUGAUAACUUUUGAUCCCAGAUUCAUUCAAUAAGAAAUGUAUCAUUACCUUGUUACCCUGAGAAAAGAUUAUUACUUUAGAAUUUUAUGUUUCUAGCCUGAUAGAGUGUGAUACUUCUUCCAAUUACUAAUUCUGUACUUGCGUUGCUGUACAAAUAGAAACAAUGGACAAUGCCGUAAUAUGAUGUCUUGCGCAUUUAGUUAAGUUGAUUGAAAGAUGCUGAUGUUGCUUAUUGAUUUUCUACAUGUUAAUGUUUAGUUUAUCCUGCUCAUUCGAUUAUGAUCAUUUUAAUUUUUUGUUUUUCAUGUUUAAGUUUAUUUAUUUAUUGUUUUUGAGCAAAGACUUGACAAGCAUAUUAUGGUUGGAAAUACUAGUGAAGUAUGCAUUUUAAAUUAGUGAUAAUGUUAUUGGCCGUACUUACAUUAUCAUCGUUGAUAUUCUUUUCUUCUUACCAAUGUUCUUUGUUCUGUAGAUGCCAAGCGCCUUAUUGGCCGCCGCUUCUCUGACGCCCCGGUUCAGAGCGACAUCAAACUGUGGCCCUUCAAGGUCGUGGCGGGUCCAGGUGACAAGCCCAUGAUCGUCGUCCAAUACAAGGGCGAGGAGAAGCAAUUUGCCGCUGAAGAGAUCUCCUCCAUGGUCUUGAUGAAAAUGCGUGAAAUCGCUGAGGCAUACCUUAGCUCCACCAUCAAGAAUGCUGUUGUUACUGUCCCUGCCUAUUUCAACGACUCCCAGCGCCAGGCCACCAAGGAUGCUGGUGUCAUUGCUGGUUUGAAUGUUAUGAGAAUUAUUAAUGAGCCCACCGCUGCCGCCAUUGCCUAUGGCCUCGAUAAGAAGGCCGAAAGCGUUGGUGAAAAGAAUGUUCUCAUCUUCGAUCUUGGUGGUGGUACAUUUGAUGUUUCACUUCUUACCAUUGAGGAGGGAAUUUUUGAGGUCAAGGCUACAGCCGGUGACACCCACCUCGGCGGUGAGGACUUUGACAACCGGAUGGUCAACCACUUCGUGCAAGAAUUUAAGAGGAAGCAUAAGAAGGACAUUACUGGAAACCCUAGGGCUCUCCGUAGGUUGAGAACCUCAUGUGAGAGGGCUAAGAGGACUCUCUCCUCCACUGCUCAAACCACGAUUGAGAUUGAUUCUUUGUAUGAAGGCGUUGACUUCUACUCUACGAUUACACGGGCUCGGUUUGAAGAGCUCAACAUGGACCUGUUCCGCAAAUGCAUGGAGCCGGUCGAGAAGUGCUUAAGAGAUGCCAAGAUGGAUAAAAGCACCGUUCACGACGUUGUCCUUGUUGGUGGCUCCACCAGGAUUCCUAGGGUCCAACAGCUUCUCCAAGACUUCUUCAAUGGAAAGGAGCUUUGCAAAAGCAUCAAUCCUGAUGAAGCUGUUGCCUAUGGGGCGGCAGUCCAGGCCGCUAUCUUAUCUGGCGAAGGCAAUGAAAAAGUGCAGGACCUUCUCUUAUUGGAUGUUACCCCGCUGUCCCUGGGGCUGGAGACAGCCGGUGGUGUUAUGACAGUUCUUAUCCCAAGGAAUACCACUAUUCCUACUAAAAAGGAGCAAGUCUUCUCUACUUACUCUGAUAACCAGCCUGGUGUGUUGAUCCAGGUCUACGAAGGUGAGCGUACCCGGACCAGGGAUAACAAUUUGCUCGGAAAAUUUGAGCUAUCUGGCAUCCCCCCUGCCCCACGUGGUGUCCCACAGAUCACCGUCUGCUUUGACAUUGAUGCAAACGGUAUAUUAAACGUCUCGGCUGAGGAUAAGACCACCGGGCAAAAGAACAAAAUCACGAUCACGAACGACAAGGGUAGGUUGAGUAAGGAUGAGAUUGAGAAGAUGGUGCAGGACGCAGAGAAGUACAAGUCAGAGGACGAGGAGCACAAGAAGAAGGUGGAGUCCAAGAAUGCGCUGGAGAACUAUGCAUACAACAUGCGUAACACGGUGAAGGAUGAGAAGAUAUCCUCGAAGUUGAGUGCGGCGGACAAGAAGAAGAUUGAGGAUGCAAUCGAGCAGGCGAUCCAGUGGUUGGACGGGAACCAGCUCGCUGAAGCUGAUGAGUUUGAGGAUAAGAUGAAGGAGCUGGAGGGGAUAUGCAACCCCAUCAUUGCGAAAAUGUACCAGGGUGCGGGUGCCGAUGCUGAAGGCAGGAUGGACGAGGAUGGCCCAUCUGCCGGCGGCAGUGGUGCUGGGCCGAAGAUUGAGGAGGUUGACUAAAAAGGCGGUCUCGUCUCACAUCCUUUUAGUUGAUGGGUGGUAUUGCGCGCGUGGUUGAGUUCGCAUUGAUUGCGAAUCAUUUUGGGUCAUGGUUCUUUGUCAUGGACCAUGAAUUUAUGAUUGUUAGGAACAUGCUAAUUUUUUUUCCUUCUAUCUUGCUGCCUUUGUUUUAGACAUACGCACUUGAUGUGCAACAAAUCAUUUUGGUUUAGGAAUUGUAAUUUUGAUAUGGUAUUUUAAAUUUUUCUGCUUCUUGGAUAAUUGUGUUACACUUUAUAUAGGUUGUGCUUCUAGUCUUGAUGAUUUGAUUGCAUUUUUGUGUGAGAAAUUUUCCUCUCGUCAGGGUGAAGUGGUUGUUUAACCUCGUUUGCUAGAGGGAGAAUGAACCAAGGGGCAGUGAGAGUGAACAAAAAGAUAGGGAUGAUGAGAGUUCUAGAAUUGUGGUAAUUGGUUUACUUAUUAAUCACUAAGCAUUAGAAACAUUAACCAGAAUGUAUAUGGCAUCUUGCUAGGCUUGCCUAAACUUUUCUUUUUAUUGUAUUUCUUUUUUGACCUGGAUUUAUUAAUAAACUUCCUAGUUUCUUACUUCCCUGGUCCUAAAUUGAGCAAUGCUAUUGGUUUCUCGCAAUUUUUUUUUUCCACCCUGGUGUGUAGAAAUUUUGUUCAGACACUAAUGUAAAGUAGAAUUUUUUAAAUUGCAGCGUUGUCCAUAAAUUCAUUUCAACUUUUCAUUAACUGUUUUUCUUUUGGCGCUCAAAAUGGCUUCUUGGAGAAGCUGUUCUGGAAAUUCAAAAGCUCUUCCAAAAGAAAUCCUACAUGUUUCUACUUUCUGGUUCCGAAAGAAGAGAAGUCGCAUCAACUGCAAAAUCCAAGGGGGAGAAGAAUCCCCUCACAGCUUUUGCUUCAUCUUCACCUUUUGCUUUCACCAGAACCGUCGCGAUUUUUUUAAUUAUAAAUUUGAGUGGAUUUAGAUGGGUACCAAUUAGCCCUUCUUUUCUUUUGAAUCUUUUCUUAUAAUUAAAGGUAUAAAAUGUCUAUGCCGUUUGGCCAAAAUGAGAUCAAAAUUAAUAUGAAGUGAGUAAUGCUUUGGGUGCUCCUUAUGCAGCAGCUAGCUCCCUUAUAAAUAAUCGGUGUUGUGUAGCUACACAAUACAAAAACAAUCAUGGAGCGCCAUAUGUGACUAGUCGACAGCUCUUUUUAGUUAAUUCUAAAUGAAAUUCUCUAUUUCGAAAAGCAAUAAACAUACGCCAACGAGGCCCAGCUGCCUCACUCUGUAGUCUAAUUCAUCCAUUUAAUGAAUGAAGCGGUAGCAAACUAUAUUUUCUAAAAAAAAAUUCGAAAUGUUUAGAGUACUAUUUAAUAAAUCUAACGGGUGUUGGCUUAGAAAUUCUAAUUAAAAUAAUAAAAUAUAUGUGACCAAGAAUUUAAAUUGCAUGCCUCUAUCUUAAUAUAUAUAUAUAUAUAUACCCAACAGUGCUCCUCGCAUUAAUACAGCACCGCGUUGUCAUGUUCUCCACUAGAUGAGUACACGAUAACAUUGCUAAUUAACUUUACGUAAGCUUUUGGAAAGUAGAUCAUUAUCAACGUACAGUUUGCAUGGACUAAUAUUAUAAUAAUUAGAAAAAAGAAAUCGUAUUUCUUUUAGAAUAAAAUAAUUAAAAUAAGAUAUGGGAAUUAAUGGUAAUAUAAGCAUUCUCAAUUUUACUAUUGUUUAGUUAAUUGUUACACCUAUUCCUUUCAAAACACAUAAACACACACACACACACACACACACACACACACAGAGGAGGAGAGAGAGAGAGACCUGAUGACCAUUAUUAAUUCUAGACCACAAAGUAAGGCCAUCCUUUCUUUUUUUUUUUCCUUAGUUUCUUUUAUGACACAAGCUUGAGAAUAUUUGUCUGUUUUACUAAGCCUUGGUUUCUUUAUUAUUUCCCAUCAAAUAAUCGUGCAGCAUGCCUAGGGUUUUCAAGGGGCCCCUUUCUUUUCCUCCUCCCUACCUUUUUUCAUGCAGGAGCAUCAGGCCACUAAGCACCUUACACCACCCCCCUUCUUUCUCUCUCUCUCUCUCUCUCUCUCUCUCUCUUUCUCAGAACACUAUUUAGAUGCUUAAAAGCUAAGGAAUUACACCCAAUCACCCACCAGCUAAGCAAACCCUACCAUAUAUAAUACAAAAGACACCACAAGGUUCUGAUAAAGAAAGAAAUAUAUAUAUAUAUAUAUAUAUAUCAACUCUUCUCUCCUUUUCUUCUUCAUUCUCUUGAUCUCCAUCUCUUGGUAUCUGGUUCUCCACCUCUAAUCAUCAAUCCUCACUACAUAUGCAUCCAAAGUAUCCUUGAUAUGGUAUCACAAAGAAGAUAGAAAUAUACCAUGGUUUUUACCUCACUUCCACGCUAUCUUGAUCCACCAAGCUGGAACCAGGUGACCCUCUCUCCUUCUCCUCCACUUCUUUUAAUUUCCUCCCAAAUUAACCACCUACUCCUUUAUAUGUAGCUUCUUCAACAAAAAAGCAAAUAAAUAGCACCCCCCCAACAACACCCCCACAAAAAAAAGAAAAAAAUUUCCCUAGCUACCACCCUACCCCUCUUUCCUUGAAUAUGCAAUAAUCUUUUAACUUUUAUGUAGAAUUAUUUGUUUUUGUGUUCUUAGUUGAUUUGGUGAUCACUGCUGUAUACUUCAAUUUUAAUGUUCAGGUGGCAGCUUGCCAAACCCCUAUCCUAGAGGAUAGAUUUCUCAAACAAAAAAAAAACUAAAAUAAACUAAAACAACACUUUUUACUCUAAACCCUAAUUCCUUUUUUUUUUUCUUUGGAAUUUCUGUUUAUACAGCAACAAGACUACCAAUCUGCUAGUUCCAGUGGCGGCGGCGGCCACCUCCCACCGCUACCGGAAGUUAGCGUGGCGACAACCGCCGCCAGCCUGGUUCGGCCUGGCUCGAUGGCGGACAGAGCCCGACUGGCGGGGCUUCCGCAGCCCGAGCACGCACUCAAGUGCCCGCGUUGCGAGUCGGUCAACACCAAGUUCUGCUACUUCAACAACUACUCCCUCUCGCAGCCGCGCCACUUCUGCAAGACCUGCCGCCGCUACUGGACGAGCGGCGGCGCCCUGCGCAACGUCCCCGUGGGUGGCAGCUGCCGCCGCAACAAGCGGAGCAGCAAGUCCAAGACAUCUUCCUCAGCAUCGGCCAACCGCCAAGCAGCUGGCACGCCAUCAUCCGGUGCAAUUCCACCCGACGUCCGGCCUCCGCCUGCUGGCGAACCGCCAUUCAUGACCUCUUUGCAGUCUAUAGGCGACUACGGUUGCACUCUUUCCGAUCUAGGGUUAGGGUUUAGUAGUCUCCACCCUAUUGAGCCAGUAGAUAGUUAUCAAGUACUAGGAAGUAGCUCAAGUUUAGGGUUAGAACACAAGAGGAUGCAACAAAUCCAGCAAUUCCCUUCAUUUACAAGUCCUUCAAUGCAAGGACUACAUAAUUUCAAUGGAGAAAGUACUAGCAGUGAUCAUCAUGGCUUAUUCGGCUCGAUCCUUCCAAAGGUAAAGAUGGAGGAUGAAUUACGAAGGCUAAAUUUGCCGCGAGAGUAUUUGGGCAUUCCUAGAGAGAACCAAUAUUGGGGAAGCGGCGAUAUCGCAGGUUUUAACUCUUCAUCAUCCGGCAAUAUCUUGUGAUAGUUCCAGCAUGCUUUCGAUGGUUUUCUCGGUAAUCUUGAUAAUUGAAGUCAUUGAAGCAUAAAUUUUUGCUAUAGCUUCUGAGACGAAGGUAUUACGUAACACUCGGGAGGGAAGGAUUAACAAACCAUUUGGUUAUCGCUAGCAGUUAACAUAUGGUGAGGAGAUAUGGAGAAGGUAGCUAGGAAUGGUGGGUUAGGUUUUUUUUUUCUUUUUUCUUUUUUAAAUUAAGUUCAAAUGGUAGAUUAGUUUAGUUACCUUGUUCUGGUUUGUAUGCUUUACUUUGUAUCUUGUAAUAUGGUUAGAGAAAUUAGGUGUAUGAUCAAGUUCAUAGAGGGUGGGAUAUUUAAAUAUAUAUAUGUAAUUCUCCAACUUGAGGAGUUGUUAGUUGUGAACUAGUCCAUGUUCUAUUUGGCUCUAAUUGUGAUUAAUUAGUAACUUUUGUUGACAUUAGCAUGCAGUUGAUAUACUACUGCAAUGUGAUGAUCUUUCUUUCUCUUCAGUUUGUAGAAGUCAUACAUCUCAUAAUUAUUUCUCAAUUUUGAGGAAUAUUUUGUAACAUUUAGGUAUGAGCACGACAAGCGCGACUUGAUUUGCUAAAGUUUAUUUAUUUUCUUGCUCAGACAAAGGUUGUUCAAAACUUACUAUUAUUUGGAAAUGAAGAUGAGUGAGAUAUUGUAUCAAGAUGCUUAAGCAAUGAAAAGCCAUUGCAAAGAUACAAAACGAGUGCUUGAGUAGAUCGAGUAAUUGCUUAUUAAUUAGGCUACUUGGAUUACGUAAUAGCCUACCCUUAGGUUCUUCAUGAUCUUCCUACAUAUUGUCAUGAUCUAAUGCCAAGGAUAACAAUAAUUCAAUUAAUGUACUGUGUAUCCAUUCAUAACAAAGCUAUUUCUCAACUUUGAAUAAAUUUAUGAGUAAUUGCGCUGCUAGUCUAUAAAAGUUUUGCUCUAGUUCGCUUUAUGGCUUGGUCUUUUGAUAUGGACAUGCGACAUUUCAAAUUUUGGAAGUGCUUCACUUUAGCCCUUACCUACACUGGUAAAUAUUUGCUCGCAUUUGGUACAUCUGCACAUUCAUUAGCCAUGAUAUAUCAACCUUCUAUAUAUCUCAUAUUUCAAUCUAAGCACAGAUGCACAUAUCCAUCGAUGCACACAACAAAUUUUAGUCUAUCGGUAGAUGAGGAGGACUAAAAAGAACUUUCAAAAGUUUAGGAUGUCGAACAUUAAUUUUUCACUUACUACUACUAGUUUUAGAAUAAUAACAAUGAUUUUAUGCUCUCUUCUCGAAUCUCUACCUAUAAAGCAUUAUAUAUUGGAGGAUAAGAGACAUGCUUAUUGAGGAAAUCUUUUUUUUUUUUUUUACUGGUCUUUUGUGGCAAACAUUAGAACAACAAUCUCUUUAGUUGAUUGGUUGCACCAAAAAAAAGAGUUUAUUAUUUCACCACUACCAAUGCUUCUUUUGGAGUUCUACAACUUUGGAGCCUACCAUUGACUGUCCAAUUAAAGUUUCAGCUUUCACUUUUGUUCUUUGGUUACAUCUGAUUGACAUCAUAACUGUAAUCAUUCAUUAAGUUGUACAUUAAUUAUAUGAUUCAUAAUGUUGUGCUUUAUGGCUUUUCUUUCUCAAAAUAAACACUUAAAAGGACAUCAAUUUUAAUCUACAUUUCUAAGAAGAUAAAUAAUACCUUCCAUAGGGAGAAAGAAUCAGAAGAGACAAUUAAUAAUGGGUUGAGAUUUAAUGUUAAUUAAUUUUAAAAGCCAAUUCACAUAGCUAAAUUAAAUUGACUUAGAUUUUUCCCUCUAAUUAAUUGCCUCAUAUUACAUGCAUUGAUACAUAUUAAGUUGAAAAAGAUUAAUUAAUCUAAAAUUCACUGAUCUAAUUGUGGUGUUUGAAAUCAUUAAUAGGUGAACUUUGUUUGAGUUCCAAAUGUUUAGUUAUUUGUUGUGUACAAUACUUUGUGCAAUUUCAUGAAUAAAACUCACACACACACACACACACACACACACACACCUAUAUAUAGGUUGUGCUCUAACAUAUGAAUACUUUAAUAUUAAUCACCCAAAUUUGAGGGACAAAGAGACAAGCACUUUAUACGGGCAUAUGCUGUUUGAUUUGGUGUGGCUUGUUCCUUGACUGAGAUGAGCCCUUCACUAUCCUUUCUCGAUCCCUUUAUAUUAUUUUAUUAGACUUCACACAUAUUCAUGUAAAUGUCUCCAGAGAGAGAGAGAGAGAGAGAGAGAGAUCUACGUAUACUAAAAUAGAGAGAGAGAGAUGUACGUAUACUAAAAUCUAUGCAGGCACUGAAACAAAGAAGGAAAGAGGUGAAGUAGGAAGAUUAAUGCUCUGGAUUUCUUUAUGCAGUCCCUAAAAUGUCUCUAAUGGUGCUUCGAGGAAACGCAGUGAACUAAUCAUUACGAUAUUGUGUCUGUGGCCUUUAAUUGAGGCGAUUUUUGAGGGCAUUGCAGUAGAACUUUUCGAAAAUACUCCUGCAUUAGAAAUUUGUUGGGAUUUCUAAUUAGAUGUGCCCCUGAUAUGCUGGUAAUAUUUUAAUACAAAAAUGUCUCUGUGUGGGUGAAUAAUUCUCUACUUUUUUAGAGGCCGUUUGUUUCAAAAAUUAUAAUAUUUCAAAAAAAAAUUAUAUUUUAUAUUUAGAAUUACAAGUUUUGACUAAUUUAUCAAGUUACUUUGGAUUAAGAGAUUGUUAAGUACUAAUAAUUUUUAUCAAGUAUGGAAAAAGAAUAACUCCUAAACCAUAAUAAUCUGUUAUUCCUUUUACUAUUUCACUAAUAUCUUUUACAACUACUAACCUGAACGCUAAUGAUUUAACACAAAGGAUUACUUUAGUAUUCCCCCCCCCUACAAAAAAAAAAAAAAAANCAAAAAAAAAAAAAAAAAAAAAAGAUGUUUAAUUGUUUAUGUGUCUCUGUCUGAGGGAAUCUGUGCUUCCCUUCUGCUUUCGCUGGGUCCAAUGCAGUCAUCUUCAUUGGAUCGAAUAAAGCAAACAAAAGUGAGCCCAUGGAUGGAAAAUUAGACAUUUAUUUAAGAAAGGGACAAAAUUUCAACUCCAAAUAGACACUAAUUCUUAUUAUAUUCAUACUUGUAUUUUUUUUUUUUGUUUUAUCUAGUUAUGCACUAUUCCAACAGUGAGCAGGAAUCUAGUUAGGAACUUGCGCUCAAAGCAGUGAUGGUGAGUACGCUAAUUAACACUUUCUCUUGUUAAAUUUGAAGGUAAAGCUUUCAUGAAAUAUUGCUAGUCGAUGAUAGAGAUUAAACUUUACAUUCAAAAAGUAGGUACAUUAGAAUUAGUCAUAAAAAAAAAUUAUCGAUCUACAUAAUUAAAAUAAAAAGUGUUCAUAGUUUAGGAUGCAUUAUCUAAAGAUAAAAACUUGUCGAAACUAUAAAUUAUUUUAAGUUGGCUAUUCAAUCUUUCAAAAUUUUAAUUUUAUUACCGUCUAUUUCAAUUGCUUAAUUUGAAUCAGCAAAGAAUACUUCAAAUUUAAAAUUUAAAUCUAUUGUUUAUCUUUAUACGUUCAGUUAGUGUGUUUCAUAUAAUUGUUAUAAAUUAUAUGCUUCAUGCAAUUCUUACAACUAUAAAUUUAUUAAAAUAAAUAAUUAGCUUAUAUUUUGAAGUCAAAAUACUGCUUAUCAACUCAAAUUAAACAAAGUAAAAGAUUAGAUAGUAAAAUAAAAUUUUUAAAAGGCCGAAUAAUUAAUUCAAAAUGACUCAUAGCUCAGAUAAGCUCUGUAUGAUUUUACCUUAUUUAACCUACAACUUAGUAUAAUUUAACUACAACUUAGUAGAACGUUCAGACAUGAAAACUAUACUAUGUACAGACUCAUUUUGGUAUAGUUUUUGCAUCUGAAUUUAAUAAUUACUUCAAACUUUUAGACCACCAGUAAACAUAAAAUUAAAAUUUCAAAUGGACUAAAAUGAUCCAAAAGGCAAAAACCAUGAAAUUUCCCUGAUAAAAUUCUUAACUUGUAAAAGAGCAUAUCACAUCACCAAUAAUUUAAAUAUUCGAAGACAAAUAAGAGCAGAGUCUACUACAAACACGCUAACAAAAGGUCUAAAUAAAUUCCGCUAAUCAAAAUUAUGCAAUGUAGAAUCGUCAAAGAUCACUUCUCGCCCCGUUGUAGGAUUUCAUUUCUUCUUCUCGGAUACACCACCAGAUCUGCAUAUAGAAAAUGAAAAUUUUUAGGGUCUAUAAAGCAGGGUUAGGCUCUUGGAUUCCUUUAUAGCGAAAGCGUACGCGAUUGAUCAUGUACAAAAAAGAAAGAGACAGUAAAACAAAGGCAACAGAACAAAGAAAACAAUUCAUUCAAAAAUUUAAUUCAAAACCAACUAUCUUCUCAUAUUGGCACUCUGCUGCUAUAUACACUUUCAUUUUGCAAGACUAAAACUUUAAACGUGCGUUUAAGAUGUUGAAAGAAGAGGACAAAUUCAACAAGAGCGAACUUACACGUCCCAGUUAAUGCACAGUGCAUGGCAAGUUUGGUGUUCAAGCUUUUCAAAAUUCAUUACAUUUUAUUUUCAUAAUUGAACAAUGACUGCAGUGUAAAACUAUGUAACUUGAGAGAUUAUUCCAAUAAAAGCAUACUGAUAUGCAUAAAGGAAAAAGAAUAUAGCAUGCAGAUUCGAGUAUGUCAACUAUGCUAUGGCCCGAGCACAACUCAAAUUUGUUCUGGUGUUGCAGGUAACAUACUUUGAAUCAACCGACUGAGCAGAAGUUGAAUAAGCGCCCUUCCUCUUGAUUCAAAUCAUAUAUCGCAAGAUAUAGUAUUUGAUAACUACAAAUACUUAUUAACACGGAAUCACCACUUUCUAUGAGAAAAAAGAUUAUUUGAGUACCAUGUAUACAAACAGACCUAAAUUACAAUGAAUUUAUGGCUUGUACACAGUAGCAAAGAAAGAGUCAUAUUGUUUGGAAGUUACACAAGUCCAACAAAACAUGUUCCAGGAAAUAAAAAACAAAACACACAAACACAAAAAAAAAAAGAAGAGACCAUUACUCACCUCAUCUUCCUGAAAACAUUAGCCAUCUCUUCACGCUUCUUCUUUGCCCUCUUAUGCGUGCCAAGCUUUCUCUUUGCAACCUUGAGUGCGCGCUUAUCUUUCCCAACUUUGAGAAGCUCAGUGAUACGCUUCUCAUACGGCGCAAACCCGGCAACUUCCCUGAUCAAGUUCCUCACCAAAUGCACCCUCUUGCUGGUUUUCUGCUUUCGGCAAAAAAGUCAUAACCCACAAAGCAAAAUUACACAAACACUGAACAAAAUGCACAAAUCUCUAAUGAAGAAAUAUAUGACAAUGGGGACGAUAAAAUGUACAUUGGUGUGAAGAAUACCUAAGAAAAUAGUAAUACAUAGCAAAUAAAUUAUAAGUUCAUAUUUAUAUAAUAAGCUAUUGUUCCUGAUAAAUAUAUGAACUGGGAAUAGAAUUCUUAGACUAGUGAUUGCAUUGUAGUGAAAACACAUCAUUUAGUCCGCUGGAAAGUGAAACCUCAGCAUUAACGUGUGUUGCGUACAAUCAAACUCAUUUUAUUACAAUUCAGCCAGGGAAUAUAACUGUAUCAUACAGGUGCGAGUAAUCCAAUCCAAAUAACAAACCAAAUUAUUCUAUAAAAAAGAGAUCAACAGAAAAAAAAAAAAAAAAGUCGCAGGUACAAUGCACCUAACAUUGAACGCAGAAUCUAGAGAUCCAUUUAUUUAUCCAAAAGUAGCUACGGCCAACUGCUGAAUAAACACAUUAAACUAAACUUAUUCUAAGUAAUUCUUUUCCUAAAUUUCAUAGCCUAUGACAUAAUUGAGGGAAAAUCUGGCAUUUGCAUCUGAUUUACUGAUCAUAUGAACAAAAAAAAAGGGUAAAUUUAUCGAAGAGAUAGAAACUAGGGAUCAAUCAUACGGGAAAACAAAAAAAAACUAAAAAAUGACUCAUAUUUUGAGAAAAAGUGGCGAUCUAAUCGCACCCCUUUUCUGCUAGAAGGGCGAGGGGGGAUCUCGCGCUUGGUGACGACGUGCCCCUUGUUGAGCCCCACGAAGAGCCCAGUGUUCGGCUGCGGCGGAGCCAUGAGAAAACCUCGAUUCGAGCCCUAAAUUCACAAAUCAAAUCAAAUUACUUCCAAUGAAAAAAAAAAAAAACGAGAUCAAAGCAAGAUCUCUAUGGUUUAACGUGCUCCAAAUUCGAACAUUGAUGAGUGAAUAGAUCAAAUGAUGUAGGUAGAGGCGAGGAGAAGAGAUGGAGAUCCGAGAGCGCGCUCGCUACCUCGCAAACACUAGGGCUGCAGCAGAAACCCUAGCCGCCGACGCCGUAAGAAACCCUAACAGAGCGCGAGAGACAGGUAUAUAAAUAAUCAUAGGAGAACCGAACCGGACCUGAUAGGACUUCGACCGGUCCGACCUUGUUGAACCGGUUGUCGACCACUCGAACCCUUUUAAAAUGAUUGGCGUCGGCCCAAAUAUCUAUAUGUGGGCCGAGAAUGGGCCUCCACAUGGCCCAUUAGCAGCUUUAACCAAAAUAUUAUCAGUCAUUUAUUUAUGCCAUAUAAUUAGGCUAAAUUACAUAAAAUUCUCCGAUAAAUACUCGCUUUUCACUUUUUCUAUUUGACUUUCAAAAACCUACAUUUUACCCUCUUAAAAUUUCAGAAAUAUUUUCAAUGGGGUAUGGUGUUAAUGGAAAGAACAAAAUUACCAAAUUAUCUUUACUUCUUCUAUAAGAAAAAAAUAUUUUUUAAUAUAUUUUUAUCAUUUUAAAGGACAUUUUCGAUGUAAAUUAUAAAAAAAUAGAUGAAAUAGUAAUGGAACCCUGGCGAAGGGGAACUAAAUGCAUCAAUUUGAAAUCUUAAGGGGAUAAAAUGUAGGUUUUUGAAAGUUAUGAAGGAAAAGUGAAAAAGUAGGUAUUUACAGAAAAAUUUUCUGUAAUUUAGCCAUAUAAUUAUCUCGCAAUUAUUUAGCACAGUUAAUUGGUACUCCAGACUACCGAUAAAAGAAGUCAGAUAAUUCGUGUCCGUUCCAAAUUGGAUUGAUAUAUUCCCUCGCUUCUUCUUGAAGAAAUGGUGGUUAAAAUUAGGGUGAUUUACUAGCAGUAAAUAAUUAUAUCCAAUAUGCAAGUUCUCUCCUUGUACUUAUUUUCCUGGUGCAUGUUGCAUCACUGUUGAUCUCAUCUUCAAGACUACAUGCUUUCCACAUUAACCUAAACCACCAAACCAAAUUAAUAUUUGAUAAUAAUAUAUUAAAAGCUCCUUGAACAUACCAUUGGCCCUCAUCCUUUGACCUUGAAAUUAAUAGUGAGGCACUCAUUAAAAUUAACAUCACAUUGUUCUCCACCUAAUGCUUUUCAUUUAGUUGUUUGUUCAACUGUGAAACAAUCAACAGUUUUGAAAAGCAAUGACGUACACCCAUGCAUAGGGAUGCAAAUGAAUCCGGGUUGGUGGAGCUCCGCCCCGAAUUCGACCCGAAUUCGACCCGAUCCGCCAAGUAAAUGGAGCGGGAGGUGGAAGACUCUUUUCUUCCUUCAAUCCGCUCCGAUCCGUCAAAAAUUCGGCUCCCACCCCGAUCCGCCCGGAAUGGAGCGAUAAGUUGGAGCCAAAAAUAAAAUGAAGAGUAACCAGCCCCGAAUCCGCCCCGUCAUGAUAAAAAAUGAAGUAGGAGGUGGUGGAACUCUCCCGCCC
rnacentral:lncRNA from 1 species